rnacentral:lncRNA from 1 species
GGGGUUCUUAUUUUUGAAUUAAUUUAUGAUUCAUAUGAGGAAGAGGAAAGUUCAAUAAUAGAUGGAUCCUUAUUGGAGAAAAAUUCUCUCUCAAUAGAGGAGUCCUCAGAUAGGGACAAGCCUUCAAGAAUAGGAUCAGGUAUAGGUGUAUCAAUUUGAUUUGAUGAAGAAGGUGAAAUAUUCCUGGGUUUGGCUUCAGAGAU